rnacentral:rRNA from 1 species
UACGUAGGGUGCAAGCGUUGUCCGGAAUUAUUGGGCGUAAAGCGCGCGCAGGCGGUCCUUUAAGUCUGAUGUGAAAGCCCACGGCUCAACCGUGGAAGGUCAUUGGAAACUGGGGGACUUGAGUGCAGAAGAGGAAAGUGGAAUUCCAAGUGUAGCGGUGAAAUGCGUAGAGAUUUGGAGGAACACCAGUGGCGAAGGCGACUUUCUGGUCUGUAACUGACGCUGAGGCGCGAAAGCGUGGGGAGCAAACAGG